GAGUCCGUCAGUAUCUGAGCAUCAGAAGGAGAAACAUUUUCCCUUAAGUAACAGGUCACCAUCAUGCUGCCCCUUCAAGUCCUCAUUUCAGGCCUCCUCCUCCUUCUCCCAGAGUGCAGACACAGAAAAAAGAAGACUCUAGAAAGCUCAGUUGUCUUCCAUGGAUUUCAGAAUGAAGUUUUUCAAAGUACAGCCCAACCCCAAGCUGUGGACAACGUCUACAUCAUCAAAGGCAGUCAACUUCCAGUUGCCCAUUGAGGGGCCAUCAUCCUAAGACUGCAGAAGAAAGAAUGUCACAUGACCAUGCUGUUAUAUUUUCUCUGUGUCAGUUCAUGUCGUGUUCCAAUUUGCCAGCAGCAGUGGAGAGGGUGGCCCUCUCGCUGUUCAUCGGCCUAGACAUUGUUCAUAUAGGACUCAUUCCUACCACACACUGGGGAGCAUUCUCUCAAACAGGAACAGCUUAGAAUCUCCUGUGUGCUUUAGAUGCCCCAAAUGUCUGUGAGAGACAAUCACUGAUAAUUCAGAAAAUAGACUUCUAUCUUAGUUACUAAGGCCAUUAAGAAGAGAGGAGUAAGAUUUUAAAAUAUAAACAAACAAACAAGUAAAUAAAUAAAUGCAAGUGGGGAGGGCAAGACUUAAUUUUGAAGUACUUCAUAUCAUGUUUCCCUUCUUUUAUUGUAACUUAAAACAUUAUAUUUCUCACCUUCCCCAAAGGGGCUUAAGUCAUGGGAACUGCGGGUUUAAUUUGUCUGGUAGAUAAACAGAAAGGAGUCUAGAGGUGUUCGUGCUUUCUAAUGGCUCCUGAAAUAUGAUACAGUGUAAUAUGGUUGAUCUUAGGAUAACAAUGUGUGUUUUCUGUCAGGAGAGGCUACCAUGGUGAGUAUGGACCAGGCAGACACCUGGGAAGAGGAUAAUGGGCACAGGCUUGAGUUCAUUAGAGCUAUUUCCACUACACUUCUGCCUUGAUGCUCGGUGUUCCUAGACUCACUCACUGAGCUCUGAGUUAGGAGCUAGAUGGAGACAAUGCAGAAAUGGAAGGGAAGAUGAGCAAGGGGGCCUCGGGGUCUCAGCCUUAGAGAAGUCCUGUUGCAGGUGGGACAAUGUUUGGGGCUACUGCUGGUUUCAUGUAGAGUUCUAAGUUUCUAAUUGUCUACAGGCCAUGUUUAUAUUUAAAUGUAUUUCAGAAAGCAAAAUAUUUUUUAUAGUAGAUCUGUUUGUCACAAUCAACAAACUAUCUGGUUUUGGUAAGAGUUAACAAAA
ensembl:lincRNA Gm12171 predicted gene 12171